GUUGCCGUAGACUGGGUGUAAAUGGUGCUUCACAGCAACUUUAAAUCUAUACACAUUAAAAUUUAGUCACGAACCUUGGGAAUCGUAAAAAUCUAUAAAUGUGGCUACUUAUUCUAUGAGACAUGCGCUAAUUCUUAUAAAAUGUGGCUGAUAUGCAGUAGACUGCAGUCUUAAAAGACAGUCUCCAAAAUGAACAGGCUUUUAGUCGUGGCUAUCAUGCUGAUCAUGGGUCCGUUAUCGGUUUAUUCUGCUGAAGAAGACGAUGCAAUUAAUUGUGUUAACGAGAAGAUAGUCCCUCUUCAAAAGGAUUAUGCACACCCGUGCGUUGCAUUUUGUUUAUAUAGUAUUUUGAGAGACGUUUCAAAUAUAGGUUUACCUCAAAUAUCGGACUUUGGGUUAUGUCCCUAUUCAAAGGGCAAAGACGUAUGCGAGUUCGCCCAAGGAAUACAAGAGUGCUUUCCAAAAAAUUUAGAUGUAACUUUCUGGGUAAAAUUUUUCCAUAAGCGUAAUAAAAUUCCAAUUAUUUGAAUUUUUUAUUGUUAUAGCCAGUUAUACAAACCAAAGCUUAAUAAAAAAAAUUGAUUACGAAA